ACAGUAUUAGUUGCAUUGAGAGGGCUCAGAUUCGCCUUUGAUAGAUCAUACUAGCCCCGCCAUCUUCUUUCACCAGAUCAUCCCCCACCAUUGAAGUCAAGCUUUGCUGGUUAUCACUCAACAGAAUGACCAUCCAAGACAGAGCCGCCAAUAUUCGGUGAGAAUGAAAAGGUCCCAAAAGAGGGGAGAUCGGGUUUUGAUACCCACAGCUCCUCAAAUAAUCGAAGACAGGUUUAUGUCAGCCAUGUUUGAUCAUCAUCGCCCCUCAUAGAUAGAUACUCCCUCUGUUCACAAAUAUAAGAUGUUCUAACUUUUUUAUGAAUCGGAUGUAGGAGGGCUCACAUUCGCCUUUGAUAGAUCAUACUAGCUCCACCAUCUUCCUUGACCAGAUCAAACCCCACCAUUGAAGUCAAGCUCUGCUGGUUAUUACUCAACAGAAUGACCAUCCAAGACAGAGCCGUCAAUAUUCGGUGAGAAUGAAAAGGUCCCAAAAGAGAGGAGAUCGGAUUUUUGAUACCCACGGCUCCUCGAAUAAUCUAAGACAAGUUCAUGUCAGACAUGUUUGACCAUCAUCUCCCCUGAUAUGGAUAGAUAGAUAGAUAGAUAGAUACUCCCUCCGUUCACAAAUAUAACAGUAUUUGUAGCAUAGCAAAGAGGGCUCAGUAUGCGUGUCAUCUUGAAGCCCAACACUCACAAGUCUUGCUGCAUGAUCUACCCAUCGUGAUGUAAGAGAACUGACCUGGUUAUCACUCAUCAGAAUGACCGUCCGAGGCGCAGAACAUCCAACAUUAGCGAUGAAUUGACCAGGCUGCAAGAGAGGUAAGGGUGGGCUCUUAAGGGCAUCUCCAACGUGGGCGCACCCAUUCAGGCCCUAUUUAGUACCCAUACGUCACGGCUGUCUUGAUUGCUCAAGACAUAAUUAUUUCAGCCACACGCAUCAUCAUCGCCCCUCAUUUUUUUCCCAAAAGGACGCCGAACCACAAGCAACAUGACCAUGAUAUACAUACACAUAGGCAUGCAUACACCCAUCCGUCCGUCCAUCCAUCCAUCUCAGGAACUGCUCAUACCUGGCCUCGACCAACCAAACCUCCCGCUCAGACGACGCAUCAGACAACACCGUACGGUUCCCAGCCAACGCCACAAACCGAAUCCAAGGCAGUGGAAUGGCGGUGGCUGGCCCCGUAGCGGUGUGGAACUGAUGCAGCGACCACCCAUCCGAUGGGUCAGUGAGUCGGCACUGAGAACUCAACUGAUUUGGUUUAGGGUUUGAAGAGAGAGACAGAGGGAGAGGUUACAAAGAUCGUAAGCAAAAGAUGGCUCAGUUUUGCAUUAC
rnacentral:lncRNA from 1 species